rnacentral:rRNA from 1 species
GCCCAGACUCCUACGGGAGGCAGCAGUGAGGAAUAUUGGUCAAUGGGCUUACGCCUGAACCAGCCAAGUCGCGUGAGGGAUGACGGCCCUAUGGGUUGUAAACCUCUUUUGCCGGGGAGCAAAGUGCCGCACGUGUGCGGUUUGGAGAGUACCCGGAGAAAAAGCAUCGGCUAACUCCGUGCCAGCAGCCGCGGUAAUACGUAGGGGGCAAGCGUUAUCCGGAUUUACUGGGUGUAAAGGGAGCGUAGACGGCGAAUAAAGUCUGAAGUGAAAGCCCGCGGCUCAACCGCGGAACUGCUUUGGAAACUUUUUUGCUGGAGUACCGGAGAGGUAAGCGGAAUUCCUAGUGUAGCGGUGAAAUGCGUAGAUAUUAGGAGGAACACCAGUGGCGAAGGCGGCUUACUGGACGGUAACUGACGUUGAGGCUCGAAAGCGUGGGGAGCAAACAGGAUUAGAUACCCCAGUA